AUACCCGCGGCCCAAGUGGUGGUCGAUAUUAUUGAGCCUAAAACGUCCGUAGCCGGUCUUGUAAAUCCUUGGGUAAAUCGACCAGCUUAACUGUUCGAAGUCCGGGGAGACUGCAAGACUUGGGAUCGGGGGAGGUGAGAGGUACUUCUGGGGUAGGGGUAAAAUCCUGUAAUCCUAGAAGGACCACCGGUGGCGAAGGCGUCUCACUAGAACGAAUCCGACGGUGAGGGACGAAGCCCCGGGGCGCAAACGGGAUUAGAUACCCCGGUAGUCCAGGGUGUAAACGCUGCGGGCUUGGUGUUGGGGGUCCUUUGAGGGCGCCCAGUGCCGGAGAGAAGUUGUUAAGCCUGCUGCUUGGGGAGUACGUCCGCAAGGAUGAA
rnacentral:rRNA from 1 species